GCCGCUGAUCUGUAGUUUAUAAAGUCCAGAGUCUGUGGUUCUGCUGUUUGUGAUGGUCAGAGAUCCAGUCUGAUGAUCCAGCUUCAGUCUGUCUCUGACUCUCCAAUAAGAUGUAGGCUGGAUAGAACAUUGGAUCUGUGUUAUGGAAAUAUACCUGGUGCUUACAUCUCUAAGAACAGGGUCAUGAAGAGGAGCAAGCAUCUCAUUUUCCUGACCCGCCUGAUGACGUGAGGAAGCAGUUUAAAUGGGGGAUGGUCUUAUAAGCAGGCACUGGGUCAGUCAUGGACCAGAGCAUCUCAUUGCUUCAAGAAAUAGAUUGGGCAGUGAUAGCUGUCUUCAGAGGUGACGAGCCUGAAGUGGUCCACCCUGAAGAUGGACCUAAUCAUUCCCUACAUGGAAGCAUCUGUCGUGACCACCUUCCUUCUGGAGGUCAGUCCCAGUUGGAUGCCUGAUUGAAACAGGUGGCAGGCAAGCAGGCAGGGCCAGGGAGUUAAGGAAAACCAUUUCCUCAGCGUCCCUGACCUCCAUUAAGUUCAAUCACAUCAAUCAUAGAUCGCGUAGCACACACACAGAAACAACUAAACUCAGCUUCAUUAUUUGUAGAGAGAG